GGAUCCAGACUUUGAUUAUGGCUCAGGAUGAACGCUAGCUACAGGCUUAACACAUGCAAGUCGAGGGGAAACGACAUCGAAAGCUUGCUUUUGAUGGGCGUCGACCGGCGCACGGGUGAGUAACGCGUAUCCAACCUGCCCACCACUUGGGGAUAACCUUGCGAAAGUAAGACUAAUACCCAAUGACGUCUCUAGAAGACAUCUGAAAGAGAUUAAAGAUUUAUCGGUGAUGGAUGGGGAUGCGUCUGAUUAGCUUGUUGGCGGGGUAACGGCCCACCAAGGCGACGAUCAGUAGGGGUUCUGAGAGGAAGGUCCCCCACAUUGGAACUGAGACACGGUCCAAACUCCUACGGGAGGCAGCAGUGAGGAAUAUUGGUCAACGGGCGAGAGCCUGAACCAGCCAAGUAGCGUGCAGGAUGACGGCCCUAUGGGUUGUAAACUGCUUUUAUAAGGGAAUAAAGUGGGUCUCGUGAGACUUUUUGCAUGUACCUUAUGAAUAAGGACCGGCUAAUUCCGUGCCAGCAGCCGCGGUAAUACGGAAGGUCCGGGCGUUAUCCGGAUUUAUUGGGUUUAAAGGGAGCGUAGGCCGGAGAUUAAGCGUGUUGUGAAAUGUAGACGCUCAACGUCUGCACUGCAGCGCGAACUGGUUUCCUUGAGUACGCACAAAGUGGGCGGAAUUCGUGGUGUAGCGGUGAAAUGCUUAGAUAUCACGAAGAACUCCGAUUGCGAAGGCAGCUCACUGGAGCGCAACUGACGCUGAAGCUCGAAAGUGCGGGUAUCGAACAGGAUUAGAUACCCUGGUAGUCCGCACGGUAAACGAUGGAUGCCCGCUGUUGGUCUGAAUAGGUCAGCGGCCAAGCGAAAGCAUUAAGCAUCCCACCUGGGGAGUACGCCGGCAACGGUGCAACUCAAAGGAAUUGACGG
rnacentral:rRNA from 1 species